rnacentral:lncRNA from 1 species
GGGAUGUAUAGACCUUUUCCUAUUAAAUAACAAUUGCAUAGAAGUGAUUACAUCCCUAUCGUCAUGAAGAAAGGGAAACGUAAAACCGCUAAUAUAAAAAGAGAUAACAAGACUUUGGACGCUACAAGAGAUAUCAUAAUUAAUGCUGACCAAGCCUGACACAAGCACUAGGAUGCAAAGGAUUAUCGAUCAUCGUGGGCUAAUUGUUUGACAAUUUAUACGAGAAAAAAUCAAACUGUAUAUUUAUAAACAUAAAAUAACUUAUAAAAAAAUAUAUAUGUAUUUUUAAUGUUCUAAAAGUUAAUGCUGAAAAAUAAAUUUAGGUGGAAAACCUUUAAAAGUAAUUUUACAUUUAAUAUUAAAAAUUUAAAAACUGACCUAUAAACAUAAACAUAACUGAAUCGAUUGGAGUUCAUAUUCUCUGUUCAUUUGGCAAGUUG